rnacentral:rRNA from 1 species
UAGCAAUACUUAGUGGCAGACGGGUGAGUAACAUGUAGCCAUCUGCCCUUUGGCCUGGAAUAACACGAGGAAACUUGUGCUAAUACCGGAUAAGUCUUUACGGAGAAAGCUUUAUGCACCAUUGGAUGAGCCUGCACUUGAUUAGUUUGUUGGUGGGGUAAUGGCCUACCAAGACUGUGAUCAAUAGCUGAUUUGAGAGGAUGAUCAGCCACAUUGGGACUGAGACACGGCCCAAACUCCUACGGGAGGCAGCAGUGGGGAAUCUUGCACAAUGGAGGAAACUCUGAUGCAGCGAUGCCGCGUGAGUGAAGAAGGCCUUUGGGUUGUAAAGCUCUUUCGUCGGGGAAGAAAAUGACUGUACCCGAAUAAGAAGGUCCGGCUAACUUCGUGCCAGCAGCCGCGGUAAUACGAAGGGACCUAGCGUAGUUCGGAAUUACUGGGCUUAAAGAGUUCGUAGGUGGUUGAAAAAGUUAGUGGUGAAAUCCCAGAGCUUAACUCUGGAACUGCCAUUAAAACUUUUCAGCUAGAGUAUGAUAGAGGAAAGCAGAAUUUCUAGUGUAGAGGUGAAAUUC